AGUGAACGCUGGCGGCAGGCCUAACACAUGCAAGUCGAACGGCGGCACAGUAAGAGCUUGCUCUUACGGGUGGCGAGUGGCGGACGGGUGAGGAAUACAUCGGAAUCUACUUUUUCGUGGGGGAUAACGUAGGGAAACUUACGCUAAUACCGCAUACGACCUACGGGUGAAAGCAGGGGAUCUUCGGACCUUGCGCGAUUGAAUGAGCCGAUGUCGGAUUAGCUAGUUGGCGGGGUAAAGGCCCACCAAGGCGACGAUCCGUAGCUGGUCUGAGAGGAUGAUCAGCCACACUGGAACUGAGACACGGUCCAGACUCCUACGGGAGGCAGCAGUGGGGAAUAUUGGACAAUGGGCGCAAGCCUGAUCCAGCCAUACCGCGUGGGUGAAGAAGGCCUUCGGGUUGUAAAGCCCUUUUGUUGGGAAAGAAAAGCAGCAGGUUAAUACCCCGCUGUUCUGACGGUACCCAAAGAAUAAGCACCGGCUAACUUCGUG
rnacentral:rRNA from 1 species